UUGGUUGUUUCAGGUGGGAAUUUUAAAUCUAGGGCCUGUUACUCCAUCUUGGCUGGACAUAGACUAACAAACCAAGGCUUUUGGCCCCAAGUCCCAUGUUCUUUCCAUAAGAAGCCUGACAGGAGAGAAGGACACUUGAACUAAGAGUAGAAAAGGAAGGAAGAAAGAAGAAAAAAGGACAGCAUGACCACCACACUUUCCUGUGAAAGUUCUCCCUGAUGGAUAUAUUGUUUGCAAGUCACAAGCCAGGUGUAAGGACAUCCACGCUGUUCUGCCGGAGAGAGAGGCCGUGUGGAGAAGCCCUGGAGGAUGAGACGCCCCAUGGAGGAGAGGCCAUGUGGGAGAACGCUGGGACGCCCUAGCUGACAGCUGACCCCAGUUGUUUGAGAAAGCCCUUAAUGAACGCCUGCCAGUCAAGCCCAGCUGUGGCCAGUGAAGCCAUAUGCGUGA